GUGCUUGACGGCUUGCAAUAUUAAACUUACUCAUCCGCCUUAUCAUCACAUUUUUUUGUAUUAUAUUCCAGAAUUUUUGAAAAAGACAUUAUUUAUCGGAUAAAUUUUGUAGUUUAUAAUUGCAAAGUGGAUAUUGAAAUAGAAUUAGCCAGAGAUGUAGAUAAUCUAUUCGUCUCUGAAUUAGCCGAUAAUUAGGUUAAAUGAAUCCGACAACUUCCGGUAUAUUUUCCGACCUACUUCACGAGCAUAAUUAUCAGCCUGUUAAGCUCAUAAGGGUAAUAAAAGAUUAUUUACUUUAAUAUUCACUUGGAAAGGCUGGUACAUGUAGCUAGAAAAAAGUACAGUAUAAGAUUAAAGAAAGACUAGAAGAUUAUUACAAACAACAGGUGGACAUGUGUCACUGUCAAGGGAAUGAAGAUAAGCAUCACACUCGGUGGGAAUCUCCAGUUUCCAGAUGUAGUGAUCAUAACUGUAUAGGCACCAUUAACACUUUGGACUAGUUGGAGUAUUUUAGAGGGCUAGUCUGAAUUGAAUCCCCUGUCAAUAGUAAAGGCCAGUCAUGAACAUUGUGUUGAAGGAAAAUGUUAAAACUCGGAUUUUCAUUACUUUACCUUAUAUUCAGUGCGGUAAUGUAGGAAAUGGUUACUUUCUGGAACGGAGCUGUCAAUUAUUUUUAAAUUUUUAGCUUGUUAGUGUUAUCGUCGGACAGUUGUAAAGUAAAGACAUCGCAGUUUGACUGUAUACAAGUUGCCUUAAAGAAAGUAUGUCGAAAUCUUAACAGUUAUUUGUUGAUUUUGUAGAAAUUGACCAGAAUUCACCUUUGUUUACAUGCAUCGCUUGGACGUCGAAAACGACAUGCAAUGACAUUUCAGUGAAAUUUGGAAACUUGCUCGUAUUUUGGAGCAUUUUGUAGGAUUUCGAUGAAGUAAAAAGUGUUUAUGAUAGGAUACAUUAUUCCUAGAGACAACCACAAAGAUAAAAUAGUGAUCUGGUGUAUUUUUACCGAACAGUUCUUGUUUGUUUUGCAUGAUAUUUUUCUCUCGUAAGGGACCUUUAUUCUUUAUAUAUAGUAUUAUGAGCGUAUAUGGGUAAAUGUGGUAUAUAGUGCCUGUGGUUUUAACAUGUAUCUUAGCUUGC